rnacentral:rRNA from 1 species
AGCUCCAUUAGCGUAUAUUAAAGUUGCUGCAGUUAAAAAGCUCGUAGUUGGAUUUGUGGGAUGGCCGUCCGGCGGGGGGCCUUUCAUGGUCCCGUUUGUCCUGGUUUUCGGCCUUCCCUUUCUCGGGUCUAGCGUAUUGGCUGGCAUUAGGUUGUCGGCCGCUUCGCGCCCGUCGUUUACUGUGAAAAAAUUAGAGUGUUCAAAGCAGGCUUAGGCCGUUGGAUACAUUAGCAUGGAAUAAUGAGAUAGGGCCACCGCGGUCUAUUUUGUUGGUUUGCACGUUGUGGUAAUGAUUAACAGGAACGGUUGGGGGUAUUCGUAUUCAAUUGUCAGAGGUGAAAUUCUUGGAUCGCCGCAAGACGAACUACUGCGAAAGCAUUUGCCAAGAAUGUUUUCAUUA